GUCCUGGCGGUCCGAAAGAAACAUGCUAAGCAAAGAGAAAAAUGGUUGCUUGCUCAAAAGAUAAGCACCUGCGCAUGCGGUCAUGCUUCACAUAGAUGACCUCUCUUAUAAUUUCAAUGAGUUCAUGAAUACUUGAAAACCCUGUGGU
ensembl:ncRNA T04C12.22 ncRNA